GUGUUUGAAAAUUCAGUAAACAAUGCUGACACUGUUGAGAAUAGGUGAUUCAUGACUUUGUGAAGAUGGAUGGAUGCUUCUUUGUGACAUGUUAUAACCCUUGUUUGCUUUUUGUGACUGAUCCGCUUCGACCCGGGGCUUUCGCAGAACCAUGCAGCUGAAGACCUAGUAAAUAGAGAUCGUGUAAAAUUUUAAGGCUUCUGGAAGGUGGAGAUGAUUGCUGACUUGACUUUGUACUGAAGCUGACAUUGAACACGCAAGGUGAACUCAGAUCCAGUCCUCAUCCUUAUCCUGAAAUGUACUUCCAAUGGUAUUUCAAUGUCUUUCUACUCACUGUGCUAGAUUUGGAUUGGAUGACUAUGUUCAACUCACAUCACAGCCCCAAGAAAAGACUGAGCUGUCCUCAGUGGUGGUUCCUGCAUAGCUCUGACUAGCAGACCAUGAAUUCCCAUGAUCAGCUGAAGUAACAGAAGGGUAAUCAGUUUCCUUCGAGAUUUCAGAUUCACUGAAAUGCA